rnacentral:lncRNA from 1 species
GAAAGGAGUUUAAUGUAAACAUAAUUCUUUUCUUGCUUUAUGUCUUUACCACAUGUCAGUUCACUGAAAGAAUGGUGAGGAAGAAGGAGCUGAAAUGUGAGCUAAGCAUGAAGAUCUUUGGAAAUGAACUUAGCUUUGUGGAUUGUGAAGAUUUAAGAAAACAGAUGAAACAUUAUUCUUUAAAUCUGGCUGAGCUGGCAGUCAAACUUCUGAAGGGACGAGAGGUUCAGUUUAAUAGAAGAUUGAGUUUGGCCACUGAAGAACUGCAAUUUCCAGCAAUUUCAGGCUUUCCUGUUCAACUGGCUGUCAAUGCCUCAGCAGCAACCAAUGUAAAAAUCAAAGGGAAUGUGAACUUCAAAAAACGGUCAAAUUUCUUUGUAAGCGGGUAUAUCAAGCCAAGUGCAUUUCUCCAGAUUUCUGUCCAAAUGGGAACUGUGGGGACGCUGGGAAAAGCUGGUCUGAGCUGGGAAACAGGAAUGAGGACAUCUACUAGUCUUGAUGGGGGAAUCCAGGUUAAAAAAGGGAAAGAACUCAAAGUUUUUUUGAACACUCCAGAAGAAUCUAUGGAGAUAAUUAAUUUCAGCUCUAGACUCUACUUCACAAUGGUGGAUGAGACAGAAGAUAUUGAUGUCUUCCAGGACCGCACAGAAACCAGAUCUUGCACUAGGGAGGAAGGUAAGUCUAGGUAUCAUAUUUGUCUUAGAAAGUGUGAUCAUUCUGAAAUAAGGGGGUAGAUCUAAACCACAACGGAGACUGCUCUAUAGAAUAUAAUUUCUUCUGGUUUCAUAUUGCUUCUGAAGAGUCUUCAGUGCUCACUGGGGUUUGUAUAUUUUCA